rnacentral:lncRNA from 1 species
AUGGUUUAAUGGAAGAUGAAGAAUCUGACAAGCCAUUUAUAAGAAGCCAAGGUGUCUUUUCUUAUUUCAGAAGUCUUGUCAGCUUGAAAUUACUCAAGGAGCCUUCUUCGUUUGCUGAUUGACAAUAUUUCGUCCACUUUGUUGCAGGGGCUGAAAAACUUUGCUGGACGAUUUUAUAAGCAAUGACGCAGAGGAAGGAGCAACCACAGUGAGAAGAAUUGGUAUAACCAGGGCCAAUGACAAGUCGAGGCAGUGUUAUCAAGGUCCGGUGAAUUUUGCAAAGCUUAUGUAUCUCUCCUGUGAGUUUUGAUAUAUAUAUAUAUAUAUAUAUAGAGGCGUGACAGAGGAAAUGUGAAUCGAGGGUUACUUCAAGCUGGGUGUUGAUGUGGAAGUUUCCUGAUGGUGGUUGGCUUGCAGAAUGUAUAUAACAAUAAAAUUCUUACACUAAAUUGUCUCGUGAGCUCACGGUAGAAAGGCUCUCUUAUAAUUUAUUCGUUGGCUUGGUUUGUCUCUCCUCCCCCUAGACUAUGUUGGUUUGUACUUUGGGAGUAUUUACUUGAACUUGGAGUUUGCUUAAUAACAUGGACAUGUGUUGUGUCU